AGCCCAGACCACCAGUUAAGGCCCCAAAAUAACUACUAAGUGAUAAAGGAUGUAUUGGUACAUAGACAACCAGGAGGUUUGCUUAGAAGCAGCAAUCCUUUAAAAAUAGCGUAAUAGCUUACUGGUCAAGUGCCUUUGCGCCGAUAAUGAACGGGGCUAAGUAGUUUGCCGAAACUGUGGGUAAAAACGGUAGAAGAGCGUUCUGUGUGGAUUGAAGUAAUAGCGAAAGCAAUUAUGGACUUAACAGAAGUGAGAAUGUCGGCUUAAGUAACGAAAACAUUGGUGAGAAUCCAAUGCUCCGAAAACCCAAGGUUUCCUUCGCAAGGUUCGUCCUCGGAGGGUUAGUCAGGUCCUAAGAUCAGGCCUAAAGGCGUAGUCGAUGGUUAACAGGUUGAUAUUCCUGUACUACAUUAAAUCUGCUUACGGAUGACGAAGGAGGCUAAACUUACCAGAUUUUGGUUGUUCUGGUCUAAAUUAUCAAGGCGUUGAGAAGAAUUAAAUAAAAAAUUCUUUGAGCUAAGAUGUGAAUGGUAGAGUGUUACGGCAUUUGAAAAGUUGAUGUCAUACUUCCUAGAAAAAUCCCUGUAAUGUUUAUUUUUUAUGUACCUGUACCGUAAACUGACACAGGUGGGUGGGUAGAGUAUACUAAGGAGCGCGAGCUAACUCUUUUUAAGGAACUCGGCAAAAUAGUCUUGUAACUUCGGGAGAAAAGAUGCCUUGUUUUAUAACAAGGUCGCAGUGACCAGAUCUAGGCGACUGUUUACCAAAAACACAGGUCUCAGCAAAGUCGAAAGACGAAGUAUUGGGGCUGACGCCUGCCCAGUGCUAGAAGGUUAAAGAAACCGGUUAGCUUUGCAAAGCUGGUGACUGAAGCCCUAGUGAACGGCAGCAAUAACUAUAACUGUUCUAAGGUAGCGAAAUUCCUUGUCGGGUAAGUUCCGACCCGCACGAAAGGCGUAACGAUCUAGAAACUGUCUCAAAAAGAGGCUCGGUGAAAUAGAAUUAACUGUGAAGAUGCGGUUAACUUGCACUUGGACAGAAAGACCCUAUGAAGCUUUACUGUAACCUGAUAUUGAUUUUGGACUUUUUUUGCGCAGCAUAGGUGGGAGGCUAUGAUGCUUUCUUUCGGGAAAGUUGAGCCAUCAGUGAGAUACCACUCUGAAAAAGUUAGAAAUCUAAUGACAUGGCUUAUAACAGAAUGUUUGACAUUGUCAGGCGGGCAGUUUUACUGGGGCGGUAGCCUCCUAAAAGGUAACGGAGGCGUACAAAGGUUUUCUCAGACUGGACGGAAAUUUGUUGCAGAGUGUAAAGGCAAAAGAAAGCUUAACUGUUAGACUUACAAGUCAAGCAGAGACGAAAGUCGGUCUUAGUGAUCCGACGGUUCCGAAUGUAAGGGCCGUCGCUUAACGGAUAAAAGUUACUCUAGGGAUAACAGGCUGAUCUCCUCCAAGAGUUCACAUCGACGAGGAGGUUUGGCACCUCGAUGUCGGCUCAUCGCAACCUGGAGCGGUAGUACGUUCCAAGGGUCGGGCUGUUCGCCCGUUAAAGCGGUACGUGAGCUGGGUUCAGAACGUCGAGAGACAGUUCGGUCCAUAUCCGGUGUGAGCGUUAGAAUAUUGAGGUAAGAUUUUUCUAGUACGAGAGGACCGAAAAAUACACACCGCUGGUGUACCAGUUCUUAUACCAAUGAGAAAUGCUGGGUAGUCAUGUGUGGAGUGGAUAACUGCUG
rnacentral:rRNA from 1 species